GCCGGGGUAGUAGAAAAGGAGCCUACUUCUAAAAGCAGACUUAGGGUCAAAGUGCAGCUCAAGCGUUUCCUUGCUGGGUUGAAAGACAUCUCUGAGCAGUUCCCUUGCGUGGCGACAAUAAACCAUUGUCAGGGGGGACGGACAAGCUGGCGACAGGAGCCAACCGUGUAGUUUGGCGUCUGAUACGUGGAAGUGUGGAGCGGAGGGUGUGGGGCUCUACGCGCUGUUAUUUCUGCUAUGGCUGACGUUGGUAGCAUCUCCGUGCUCCGUGAAGAUUCACUCCAGCUGAAAAUUCCGUCUUCCCUCCUAGCUUCCCUAUAACCUUCAUGGAGGACAGAGCCCUGACUGAAAGCUCCCAUUACACAGAACAUUAAUUGCUGGAGGAGUGUGGGCAGCUUGGGCUUUAGGGAGAGAGCUGCUAUGGGCUGUACACAUGUCUUUGCUCUUAGGCUCCCCUAUCUCUACACACUCGCUCAUGCAGAGAUCCCUCACCAGGGAGGAUCCACCAGCGGGUGUCUCAAGGCGCCCACAGUGCUCUGCGGGAGAGCUGGUGAACGCCAGGGUCAGGCUGCAGGUUCCCUCCGCAGCCUUGGGUGUGCCCUGCCUGAACUUCUUUCUGUUUGUAGGGUAGAGCCGCUUGGUGGGAUGGAAACUUUAAACAUUCUUUGGAUGUUCCUGGUAUUUGAAUCAUUCUCUAAAUGAGUUUCACAUGAAGAAAAAAAAAAGAAAGAAAGAAAGUUUGGAACCAUUGUUAAGGGAGAACGGAGGAAGAGAAAGUAUCAGACCAAUGGUGAUCUUGCCGUAGCUCAGCUGACACCCAUGGGUCAGCCUCCCGAAGGACGAGCUCCCACUAACUUGGACUGAAUGACCCUCCAGGAACCUUGAUGUCUUCACACUCCUGACACCCUUCUGUCAUCCUUCGGGAUUGCUCUUGAUGUAUACACCUUUCUGGCUACACAGAGGAACACGAGGCCCAGCAGAGCUAAGAGACAGGCUCCAGGGAAAGCUCUGUGAGGACAAGAGAAGGUAACCGAGAGGCAGCCCACCAGAAAGCUCUUCCACGCAAAUAGCAAGAUCUUUACUGCCCGCUGGAAUUGCCAGGGAGGUUGGCAUGGAGGAAACCCCCGCAUCUGGGCUGUAGAAAUGGUUGCUUCAGGUUUGCUGUGAUAUACCAGGCUGAGCAAUACAGCCUGCGAGAGUUCUGGAGGAAGGGCAGGCUGGUGUGUGGUCAGAACACACCGUCAGAACAACAGCUCCGUGGACUUGGAACUGUGGUACGCAGGACUGCCUCAUAUUAAGAUACACGGAGGAGGAAAAAAAAACAAAAAACAAAACAAAACAAAGCAGCAUUAUCUCAGCAAAACAACACCAUCUUCCUGCCAAAAAGAUAAGAAAAGUGGUGAUGGGCCAGCCCCAAAUAAUGUCCAAAAGAGCCGGUCUUUUUACAGACAUGACAUCUUGAAGGUCUUCGGUUUCCCAGCAUUCUCUCCUUUGCGCUUUACUGUGUAGAGGGAUGAGGAUUUAUUAGGCCAAAGUGAACUGAGGUUAAUUUAAUUCUGAGGAGUUUCUCCACGCGCCCUGGGACAGUUGGACACACUCAAGGUUGCGAAAUAAAAGCCAAAAGUCCCUGUAUUUGUGCAAAUCUUGGCCUAGUAGAGCAGGCCCAUGCCUUAGGAAAGAAAAGUACUGACAAUGCCUGUUCCCCUUUCAGCCAAGCCCUGUCCUCCAGCGAGCGCCUCCCGUGAAUCCUUUGACUCGGAAGGAGUGGACGCACUCAGCCCUCAGCACUCCUCUUUACAAGCGAGGAAACUGGAGCAUGGCGGUGCCUCCUGCGUUCUACACACCGGCAAGGGGUUGGGCUACGA